CCGGGGGGAGUAUGGUCGCA
rnacentral:siRNA from 1 species